rnacentral:rRNA from 1 species
AUUGAACGCUGGCGGCAUGCCUUACACAUGCAAGUCGAACGGCAGCACGGGAGCAAUCCUGGUGGCGAGUGGCGAACGGGUGAGUAAUACAUCGGAACGUGCCCAGUAGUGGGGGAUAGCCCGGCGAAAGCCGGAUUAAUACCGCAUACGACCUACGGGUGAAAGCGGGGGAUCGCAAGACCUCGCGCUAUUGGAGCGGCCGAUGGCAGAUUAGCUAGUUGGNGGGGUAAAGGCCCACCAAGGCGACGAUCUGUAGCUGGUCUGAGAGGACGACCAGCCACACUGGGACUGAGACACGGCCCAGACUCCUACGGGAGCAGCAGUGGGGAAUUUGGACAAUGGGCGCAAGCCUGAUCCAGCCAU